CAGCCAUGGUUCAGCAGCUGCUGGUUAUGGCGCUUUCAAGGCUGAAAAGCUUGCAGGCUGAGGGCUGUGACUCUCCGUCCGAGGGGAAAGGGAAUCCACUGGGUGUCGUCUGCACUGUGUUUGUCA